GUGGUAAUGCCGGAUGCUCCAGUUGAUCGCAUGGUCUUCUGGGAAAGCUUUCGCGGUAUGGGAUGGGGUCGCGUCCUAUCAGCUUGACGGCGGGGUAACGGCCCACCGUGGCUUCGACGGGUAGCCGGCCUGAGAGGGCGACCGGCCACAUUGGGACUGAGAUACGGCCCAGACUCCUACGGGAGGCAGCAGUGGGGAAUAUUGCACAAUGGGCGCAAGCCUGAUGCAGCGACGCCGCGUGAGGGAUGGAGGCCUUCGGGUUGUAAACCUCUUUUAUCGGGGAGCAAGCGAGAGUGAGUUUACCCGUUGAAUAAGCACCGGCUAACUACGUGCCAGCAGCCGCGGUAAUACGUAGGGUGCAAGCGUUAUCCGGAAUUAUUGGGCGUAAAGGGCUCGUAGGCGGUUCGUCGCGUCCGGUGUGAAAGUCCAUCGCUUAACGGUGGAUCCGCGCCGGGUACGGGCGGGCUUGAGUGCGGUAGGGGAGACUGGAAUUCCCGGUGUAACGGUGGAAUGUGUAGAUAUCGGGAAAAA
rnacentral:rRNA from 1 species